UUCCAGUUAUAGGCUCUGAGAAUGGAAACUUCAGCAAGCAUACGUCUUAUUGGUCUGAGACUUACAAUGACUGAGUGGAGGUGGCUGGGGUUCUAGACUGCGCACAAGGGAAAGGGGAGCGUCAGUAUUUCCUGGCCUCCAGACGUGAGGAGUGGCAGCUGUGUGUGCGUGCUGCCAGGACCUCUGUUACAGCUUCCUGGCCCUGAUGGACCUUCCUUCUGAACCUGAGAGUCGUUGAGAGGAAAUAUGAAGAAGACAAUACAACAUAAUUCUAAGGCUGCUCCUUGAACAUUUGAAAGAACAACGCAAGCAUAAAUUAUUUAGUGAGGUCUUCGUGUAUGAUAAUUAAACGAGAAAAGAAACACGUGUGUCAGGGGACAGCAGUGAUAAUCUGAAAGAAAAAUUUGGUGAAUAAAACUAACUGUGACAACU
rnacentral:lncRNA from 1 species